rnacentral:rRNA from 1 species
UGGGGAAUAUUGCACAAUGGGCGCAAGCCUGAUGCAGCCAUGCCGCGCGUGUGAAGAAGGCCUUCGGGUUGUAAAGCACUUUCAGCGGGGAGGAAGGCGUUAAGGUUAAUAACCUCACCGAUUGACGUUACCCGCAGAAGAAGCACCGGCUAACUCCGUGCCAGCAGCCGCGGUAAUACGGAGGGUGCAAGCGUUAAUCGGAAUUACUGGGCGUAAAGCGCACGCAGGCGGUCUGUCAAGUCGGAUGUGAAAUCCCCGGGCUCAACCUGGGAACUGCAUUCGAAACUGGCAGGAUAGAGGCUUGUAGAGGGGGGUAGAAGUCCAGGUGUAGCGGUGAAAUGCGUAGAGAUCUGGAGGAAUACCAGUGGCGAAGGCGGCCCCCUGGACAAAGACUGACGCUAAGGUGCGAAAGCGUGGGGAGCAAACAGG